rnacentral:rRNA from 1 species
CCUACGGGUGGCAGCAGUGAGGAAUAUUGGUCAAUGGGCGCGAACCUGAACCAGCCAAGUAGCGUGAAGGAUGACUGCCCUACGGGUUGUAAACUUCUUUUAUAAAGGAAUAAAGUGAGGCACGUGUGCCUUUUUGUAUGUACUUUAUGAAUAAGGAUCGGCUAACUCCGUGCCAGCCGCCGCGGUAAUACGGAGGGUCCGAGCGUUAUCCGGAUUUAUUGGGUUUAAAGGGAGCGUAGAUGGGUUGUUAAGUCAGUUGUGAAAGUUUGCGGCUCAACCGUAAAAUUGCAAUUGAUACUGGCAGUCUGGAGUACAGUUGAGGUAGGCGGAAUUCGUGGUGUAGCGGUGAAAUGCUUAGAUAUCACGAAGAACUCCGAUUGCGAAGGCAGCUUACUAAACUGCCACUGACAUUGAUGCUCGAAAGUGUGGGUAUCGAACAGGAUUAGAUACCCCAGUAGUC